GAGUUUGAUCGUGGCUCAGAUUGAACGCUGGCGGCAGGCCUAACACAUGCAAGUCGAGCGGUAGAGAGAAGCUUGCUUCUCUUGAGAGCGGCGGACGGGUGAGUAAUGCCUAGGAAUCUGCCUGGUAGUGGGGGAUAACGCUCGGAAACGGACGCUAAUACCGCAUACGUCCUACGGGAGAAAGCAGGGGACCUUCGGGCCUUGCGCUAUCAGAUGAGCCUAGGUCGGAUUAGCUAGUUGGUGAGGUAAUGGCUCACCAAGGCGACGAUCCGUAACUGGUCUGAGAGGAUGAUCAGUCACACUGGAACUGAGACACGGUCCAGACUCCUACGGGAGGCAGCAGUGGGGAAUAUUGGACAAUGGGCGAAAGCCUGAUCCAGCCAUGCCGCGUGUGUGAAGAAGGUCUUCGGAUUGUAAAGCACUUUAAGUUGGGAGGAAGGGCAGUAAAUUAAUACUUUGCUGUUUGACGUUACCGACAGAAUAAGCACGGCUAACUCUGUGCCAGCACG
rnacentral:rRNA from 1 species